rnacentral:rRNA from 1 species
GACGAACGCUGGCGGCGCGCCUAACACAUGCAAGUCGAACGAGCGAGCGAGAGCUUGCUUUCUUGAGCGAGUGGCGAACGGGUGAGUAACGCGUGAGGAACCUGCCUCAAAGAGGGGGACAACAGUUGGAAACGACUGCUAAUACCGCAUAAGCCCACGACCCGGCCUCGGGGUGAGGGAAAAGGAGCAUUCCGCUUUGAGAUGGCCUCGCGUCCGAUUAGCUAGUUGGUGGGGUAACAGCCCACCAAGGCGACGAUCGGUAGCCGGACUGAGAGGUUGAACGGCCACAUUGGGACUGAGACACGGCCCAGACUCCUACGGGAGGCAGCAGUGGGGAAUAUUGCACAAUGGGGGAAACCCUGAUGCAGCGACGCCGCGUGGAGGAAGAAGGUCUUCGGAUUGUAAACUCCUGUUGUUGAGGAAGAUAAUGACGGUACUCAACAAGGAAGUGACGGCUAACUACGUG